rnacentral:ncRNA from 1 species
UUUUCAUGCGAUUUUUAAGUUAACUUAAAUAGUUUAUUCUGCAGUAAUUAAUUUUAAGUUUUAAAGUAAUUUAGACUUAGGAAUGGAGUUUGGUUCUGAUUAAAUUUGUGCCAGCAGUCGCGGUUAGACAAAUAGGGCUAGUAAAAUUUAUUGGUUAACAGUUAAUUUUAUAUUGAAUAAUUAAAUUUAAAUUUAUUAAGUGAAAUUUUAAUUUUAAUUUAAUUUUUCUUUUAUGAAGCUGUGAAAUUUGUUUUUAAACUAGGAUUAGAUACCCUAUUAUUUUAAAUGUAAAUUUUUUACCAGGUUAUUAUUAGUUAUAGUCUUUAAAACAAAAAAAUUUGGCGGUAUUUUAGUCUUUUCAGAGGAACCUGCCCUGUAAUUGAUAAUCCACGAUUAAAUGAACUUGAUUUUUGUUUGUAUAUCGUCGUGGUUGAUUUUUUCAGGAGUAUUAUAAUGGUCAGUUUUUUUAAUUAAAAAAGAAUUCAGAUCAAGAUGCAGCUAUAUUCAAGGAGAGGUGGGUUACAAUAAAUUGAUUUAAAUGGUUAAAUAUUUUUAAAAUUUUUUAUAAAGUGGAUUUGAAAGUAAUUUUUAAUUAUUUUUUAAAAAUGACUUAGCUCUAGAAUAUGCACAUAUCGCCCGUCGCUUUCAUAAAAAUGAAAUAAGUCGUAACAAAGUAGACGUACUGGAAAGUGUGUCUAGAAAGAU